AUGUGCUCUCCCAUUUGGAUACUAGUGUUGGUCUCAGAGUCCUCCACCCCGGACCUCUCUGUUCACCGCACACGAUCAGCAGAGGCAGCGGCAAGGAAGAUGACGACGACGACAAGGAGGAGACCCUUGAAGGUCCCUGAGAUGGCGCUGAGGGUGUGCGUGAUCCCCCUCGCCUUGGCCUCCCUGUGGGAGAUGGCCACCAACAAGCAAGCUAAUGACACCUACGGAGAGAUCAGCUUCUCCAACCUCUCCGGCUUCAAGUAUUUAGUUUUCAUUAACGCUGUCACUGCCGCCUAUUCCGUGGUCUCCAUCCUGAUGUCAUCCUUCAAGUCCCUCGCUCGCUAUGAUUGGCUCAUUUUCCUCCUGGAUCAGGCGGCGGCGUACCUGCUGGUGACAUCGUGCUCGGCGGCGGCGGAGCUGGUGUACCUGGCGAUGGAGGGCGACCGGGAGGUGUCGUGGGGCGAGGUGUGCUCCUACUUCGGUCGGUUCUGCGGCAGGGCCACCGUGUCCGUGGCGCUGCAGGCCGCCGCGCUGCUCUGCUUCGUCGCGCUCUCCCUCGUCUCCGCCUUCCGGGUCUUCCGCGAGUUCGACGCCCCUGGUGCUCAUGUUGAUUGCUCGGGGGACUCUGACUCCAAGCAGGAAGGUACAAGGGUGCACGACUUGUCUCCCAAACUAUGCACUAUACGAAGAAGAAAAAUACAUGAAUCUCCCUUCCCCGGCAGUGAAAACGUCACCGGGCCACACAGAGACUGA
rnacentral:rRNA from 1 species